UACAGAGGGUGCGAGCGUUAAUCGGAGUUACUGGGCGUAAAGGGCGCGUAGGCGGUUAUAUAAGUGAGAUGUGAAAUCCCUGGGCUUAACCUAGGAACUGCAUCUCAUACUGUAUGACUGGAGUAUUGUAGAGGGUAGUGGAAUUUCCGGUGUAGCGGUGAAAUGCGUAGAGAUCGGAAGGAACACCAGUGGCGAAGGCGGCUACCUGGACAAAUACUGACGCUGAGGCGCGAGAGCGUGGGGGAGCA
rnacentral:rRNA from 1 species